AUUUAAAGAAAAACGUUUGAUAAAGCACAGAAUUCCUGAGGUUAGGUUUCAAGAUACAUUAUAUUGGUCUAACGAUGUAGCUGCUGUUGCUAAACGAAUUUUUUGAUCUAUUUCAAUAAGUCUUUCUUGUUAUUUUAUUUUGUCUUGUUAACAAAAGCGAACCAGAGCGAAGCGAGGGCCGCAAUUCACACGAGUUUAAUUUUUAUUGAAGGCAUUCAUCAUUUUAUAGACAAUAACGGUCUAAUAUGAGCAUAAAACCAGGCCAGUAACAGAAAAUGAAGUUGUGAAUCAAAAAUUAGUAUCGUUUUAUAACGUCUCAAGACUUUACAAAGAUUUUCAGUAAAACAAAACAGAAUUAAAUUAUUAAUGAGAGAUUUAGACCGUUCUAGUAGUUCUUCUUAAUCAACCAAUAAAUCAUUACCAAUACAACAUCUAUUAAGAAGUUCAGGUUCAGACAGUCAAGGGAUCUGACCCACCAACAGGUGGGACCUAGUUGUUAGGGUUCUUCUUUUAGGCUGCCAU